rnacentral:rRNA from 1 species
GACGGACCGUCCAAACGUUAUUCGGAAUCACUGGGCUUAAAGAGUGCGUAGGCGGCCUCGCAAGUUGGGUGUGAAAUCCCACGGCUCAACCGUGGAACUGCGCUCAAAACUGCGAGGCUAGAGGGAGAUAGGGGUGAGCGGAACUCAUGGUGGAGCGGUGAAAUGCGUUGAUAUCAUGGGGAACACCGGUGGCGAAAGCGGCUCACUGGGUCUCUUCUGACGCUGAGGCACGAAAGCUAGGGGAGCGAACGGG